rnacentral:sRNA from 1 species
GCCAAGUGUGGUAGUGCACAUCUGUAAUUCCAGCAACUUGGGAGGCUGAGGCAGGAGGAUGACAAGUUUGAGACCAGCCUCAUAAAUUGAGUGAGGCUCUAAGUAACUUAGUGAGACUCUGCCUCAA